ensembl:lncRNA
UGCUACAUUGACGUAUAUCACGGGACAGGGGCACCGCACAAUAGGGGGGGGGGUUAUUUAAUUGGCCCUCUUUCAAAAGGUUCCAUCUCAUGCUAUUUAAUGCGUCUGUUUGUGUGCGUGUGUGUAUGUGUUUGUACGCACGCCUGGUUAAAAAUCCAUUCCUGCUGUCAAUCACACAUCCUACAUUCUCUGUCAUAAAUUAAUUAAAUCAACCUUCAUUCAGUCUGCCGAUCGCUUUAAUCCAAAGCGAAUAAAACGUCAGCCUAAGCAUACAAUAAGAACUGGAUUACUACAGCCUUGAUCUAUAGUUAAGAACCAUCUAAACCAGAAUAGCGAGAUAACAAUAUCGUUCUUUUAUGGGUCGUAGUGCUAAUGUGGUUUCCAAAUUGUAUAGCUCGACAAGCAAAUCUAGGCUUCUAGAAAACUUGAGGUGAGCUACACAAGAAAAGGGGCCCACAGAGAAGGGGGCCCUGAACUAACCCUCAGGGCAAGAAAGUCCUGACAGCAGUGGCACUGUGCGGGGGAGAUGGGUGUUUGCUGGGUAUGUUGGGGACACAGACUUGAACAUUCACAGACUGUGGAGUUAUAAGCACAUCAGACAUUCUAGAUAUUCACUCUAAAUAAGAAUUAAUUAAAAAAGCUUUCAGAAAGGCACAACACUGUUCCUCAAUCAAAUCUUGUCAUUUUGGAGGAUUUUUUACGUCAGGGGGGCAAACGUUAACGUUAGGUAAAAUGAGCUAAAGGAAUCAUUUUUUGGAGGUUAGAAGAAAAUGGGCUUUCUAAAGUUAAUUCUGAUCUCAGAAGAACUGGAAGUGUUCUGUGAUUGUCUUGAAGAUGUCGGCGCCGGGUGUCUGUUCUGCUUCUACUGAGGAAAAUAAAUGGGAUUGACGAAAAGAAUGGACUCAUUCUUUAUCUGCAAGUCAUUCUUUACGGAAAUGACAAUAGGCCGAUUCUAGGGCACCUUCGUUCAGGACUUAAUUGUGUUCUCUCUUUCUAACCUAUAAAUGGACUCUGGAAAGAUGUAGGAAUGCUUUAGGGAACGUCAAAAACAGCACCUCUCUAAGUGGAGCCGUUAAAACUGUAGAGGAAGUUUUCGGCUUUUAACUUCUUCAAGUAAGCUAUUGAGGUGAGCUUGACCUGUAUGAUCAUCGUAAUAAUGCUUUAUUUGGAGUGAUCCUGCUGGCAACAUUGCUUAUUUUUUCCUUGUAUUGAAUCUAAUCCGCUAUUUAUUGACUUCUGAACUAACUGAAAGUAGGCUACUUGUUUUGAUUUUACUUUUUUUUUAAGUGUUGGUAGUUGACCAUUCAGGACUCCGGUGACGCCAGCGUCACUGGUACACAUUGG